rnacentral:pre_miRNA from 1 species
CUAUUACUCCCUCCGUCCCACAAUUCUUGUCUUAAAUUUGUUUAGAUACGAAUGUAUCUAAUACUAAAACAUGACUUGAUACAUCCGUAUCUAGACAAAUCUAAGACAAGAAUUUUAGGACGGACGGAGUAUUAU